GAAUAACUAAUAUAAUAAAUUUAGUAAUACAAAUACUGUAAAAUGUAAAUAAAUUAAAAUAUUUAUAUAAUUUAUAUAUAUAUACAUAUAUAUAUAUUGAAAUGUAUAUGUAUAUAUGCAUAUAACGGAUUGGAUCAGAUUUUCAUACCUAAAAAUAUUAGUAGUUGUGAUUUGCUUAGUUUCUUACGGAUAUUGAUUAUUAUUAUUUGUUUUGUUUCGCAAAGUUACAUAUAUCCAGAUUUUUUGGUUCAAAUUAAAAUAGAUAACGAAUCGAAUCAAAAUUUACGAAUAUUUUAUCGAGUCCUCAGGGGCGGACGGAGGAGAGGAGUGGGUGUGGCACUUGCCCCACACUCUUUUUUUUCUUUUCUUAAUAGUAAAUAAAACUUCUUUUUUUUUAACUUGGUUUAAGUUUAAUUAAUCAAAAAAAUAAGAAAAGUGCCCCACCCAAUUAAAACAAAAG
rnacentral:lncRNA from 1 species